AUACUCCUGACUGACCGAUAGUGAACCAGUACCGUGAGGGAAAGGCGAAAAGAACCCCGGCGAGGGGAGUGAAAAAGAACCUGAAACCGUGUACGUACAAGCAGUGGGAGCACGCUUAGGCGUGUGACUGCGUACCUUUUGUAUAAUGGGUCAGCGACUUAUAUUCUGUAGCAAGGUUAACCGAAUAGGGGAGCCGAAGGGAAACCGAGUCUUAACUGGGCGUUAAGUUGCAGGGUAUAGACCCGAAACCCGGUGAUCUAGCCAUGGGCAGGUUGAAGGUUGGGUAACACUAACUGGAGGACCGAACCGACUAAUGUUGAAAAAUUAGCGGAUGACUUGUGGCUGGGGGUGAAAGGCCAAUCAAACCGGGAGAUAGCUGGUUCUCCCCGAAAGCUAUUUAGGUAGCGCCUCGUGAAUUCAUCUCCGGGGGUAGAGCACUGUUUCGGCAAGGGGGUCAUCCCGACUUACCAACCCGAUGCAAACUGCGAAUACCGGAGAAUGUUAUCACGGGAGACACACGGCGGGUGCUAACGUCCGUCGUGAAGAGGGAAACAACCCAGACCGCCAGCUAAGGUCCCAAAGUCAUGGUUAAGUGGGAAACGAUGUGGGAAGGCCCAGACAGCCAGGAUGUUGGCUUAGAAGCAGCCAUCAUUUAAAGAAAGCGUAAUAGCUCACUGGUCGAGUCGGCCUGCGCGGAAGAUGUAACGGGGCUAAACCAUGCACCGAAGCUGCGGCAGCGACGCUGAUGCGUUGUUGGGUAGGGGAGCGUUCUGUAAGCCUGCGAAGGUGUGCUGUGAGGCAUGCUGGAGGUAUCAGAAGUGCGAAUGCUGACAUAAGUAACGAUAAAGCGGGUGAAAAGCCCGCUCGCCGGAAGACCAAGGGUUCCUGUCCAACGUUAAUCGGGGCAGGGUGAGUCGACCCCUAAGGCGAGGCCGAAAGGCGUAGUCGAUGGGAAACAGGUUAAUAUUCCUGUACUUGGUGUUACUGCGAAGGGGGGACGGAGAAGGCUAUGUUGGCCGGGCGACGGUUGUCCCGGUUUAAGCGUGUAGGCUGGUUUUCCAGGCAAAUCCGGAAAAUCAAGGCUGAGGCGUGAUGACGAGGCACUGCGGUGCUGAAGCAACAAAUGCCCUGCUUCCAGGAAAAGCCUCUAAGCAUCAGGUAACAUCAAAUCGUACCCCAAACCGACACAGGUGGUCAGGUAGAGAAUACCAAGGCGCUUGAGAGAACUCGGGUGAAGGAACUAGGCAAAAUGGUGCCGUAACUUCGGGAGAAGGCACGCUGAUAUGUAGGUGAAGUCCCUCGCGGAUGGAGCUGAAAUCAGUCGAAGAUACCAGCUGGCUGCAACUGUUUAUUAAAAACACAGCACUGUGCAAACACGAAAGUGGACGUAUACGGUGUGACGCCUGCCCGGUGCCGGAAGGUUAAUUGAUGGGGUUAGCGCAAGCGAAGCUCUUGAUCGAAGCCCCGGUAAACGGCGGCCGUAACUAUAACGGUCCUAAGGUAGCGAAAUUCCUUGUCGGGUAAGUUCCGACCUGCACGAAUGGCGUAAUGAUGGCCAGGCUGUCUCCACCCGAGACUCAGUGAAAUUGAACUCGCUGUGAAGAUGCAGUGUACCCGCGGCAAGACGGAAAGACCCCGUGAACCUUUACUAUAGCUUGACACUGAACAUUGAGCCUUGAUGUGUAGGAUAGGUGGGAGGCUUUGAAGUGUGGACGCCAGUCUGCAUGGAGCCGACCUUGAAAUACCACCCUUUAAUGUUUGAUGUUCUAACGUUGACCCGUAAUCCGGGUUGCGGACAGUGUCUGGUGGGUAGUUUGACUGGGGCGGUCUCCUCCUAAAGAGUAACGGAGGAGCACGAAGGUUGGCUAAUCCUGGUCGGACAUCAGGAGGUUAGUGCAAUGGCAUAAGCCAGCUUGACUGCGAGCGUGACGGCGCGAGCAGGUGCGAAAGCAGGUCAUAGUGAUCCGGUGGUUCUGAAUGGAAGGGCCAUCGCUCAACGGAUAAAAGGUACUCCGGGGAUAACAGGCUGAUACCGCCCAAGAGUUCAUAUCGACGGCGGUGUUUGGCACCUCGAUGUCGGCUCAUCACAUCCUGGGGCUGAAGUAGGUCCCAAGGGUAUGGCUGUUCGCCAUUUAAAGUGGUACGCGAGCUGGGUUUAGAACGUCGUGAGACAGUUCGGUCCCUAUCUGCCGUGGGCGCUGGAGAACUGAGGGGGGCUGCUCCUAGUACGAGAGGACCGGAGUGGACGCAUCACUGGUGUUCGGGUUGUCAUGCCAAUGGCACUGCCCGGUAGCUAAAUGC
rnacentral:rRNA from 1 species